UACGAAGGGGGCUAGCGUUGUUCGGAUUUACUGGGCGUAAAGCGCACGUAGGCGGAUCUUUAAGUCAGGGGUGAAAUCCCGAGGCUCAACCUCGGAACUGCCUUUGAUACUGGGGAUCUCGAGUUCGGGAGAGGUGAGUGGAACUGCGAGUGUAGAGGUGAAAUUCGUAGAUAUUCGCAAGAACACCAGUGGCGAAGGCGGCUCACUGGCCCGAUACUGACGCUGAGGUGCGAAAGCGUGGGGAGCAAACAGG
rnacentral:rRNA from 1 species